UCUCCCUGGCAAUAGGCAAAGAGACACCUCUUUAGUGGUGUUGUUCUUAUAUCAGUCAGGGGUAAAGCAAAUGACAGUCCUUUGUUCAUCGUAACUGGAUCCCUGACUUGGUGACCAAAGCUGUAUUCUGCCUAGGACAGAGAA
ensembl:snoRNA Gm25771 small nucleolar RNA SNORA48